CUGUUAUUAUGUUUGUACCACAAAUGAUCAAGAACAAUUGUCUUCACUAAUUUGCUUUAUGCUUUGUACAAGUUUCAGAUCUGUAAAUACUGGUUUGAGAAAAUUUUAUGUUGGAUGUACAGAUAAUAAAGGUAAGUGAAUUGGAAUAUAGAGAUAUUGGUUUGCUGUCUUUGAAGGAUUUUCCAUGGAUAGUGAAUGAACAUUUUAAUCAAAAAUAAGAUAUAUGAUAUCUUGCAUAGUAUUUUUCUCUAUAUGUUUAUGUAAUUUGCCACUUUAAAAAAAAAAAUUUUAAAUUCUUGGAUAAUCAUCUCUGAGAGACAAAAUUAAAUUAAUAAAAAUCUGAAGAGGUUCAAAUGUGCUCAAAAAAAUAAUUGUGAAAAAGUUUAGUACAAUACAUUACAAGAUAUUCUUUGAAAAGUUCAAAGGAGAGAAGUUUUUAAAGAUUGAAUGUUUAGUAUAGUUAGCACAAACAUGUGUUUACUUAGAAAGAUGUGCUUAUUACAUGUCAUUAUUAUUUCAUGUUUUAAUGAUUCAGGUAAUAUUUUGUGUUGUCUUAUUUGUGAAUGCUUGUCAUUCUGUAUCGUCUUGGGAAAGUUGGUAUUGCACCUUUAGUACCUCUAUGUGUGAAUGCUGGUCAUUUUGUAUCGUCUUGGGAAAGUUGGUAUUGCACCUUUAGUACCUACUGUGAAUGCUGGUCAUUCAGUCUUUUUUUGUGAAUAUUACCAGUUCAUUAUUUAUUGAUGUAAUAAUCUUCUUUUCAUACAUCAUACAUGUAUACAUUUGUGACCAGAUCUGGCAGAUCAUCAAUUUUCUUUUCAAAAAGAAUUUGCUGAAACAGGACAACAUACCUUUUUUGGUGUUUUAUUCGAAUAAUAAUAAACCUCUUAUUUGGUCCAACAGAUAUUUGGUGCUUUUAAUGUGAUCUUCUGAAUAUGUGGCAAGUUGUAUAAGAUGUGUAUAGUACCAUGUGUUUCAAUUUACAAUGUUCUUGUAGUUCAAUAAAUUGUUCAUCAGA